AAUAUUGGUCAAUGGAGGCAACUCUGAACCAGCCACGUCGCGUGAAGGAUGACGGCCCUACGGGGUGUAAACUUCUUUUAUACAGGAAUAAAGUGAGUCCCGUGUGACGUUUUGCCUGUACUGUACGAAUAAGGAUCGGCUAACUCCGUGCCAUCCGCCGCGGUAAUACGGAGGAUCCAAGCUGUAGCCGGAUUUAUGGGGUUUAAAGGGUGCGCAGGCGGAAGAUUAAGUCGGCGGUGAAAUUUUGCAGCUAAACUGUAAAAGUGCCAGCGAUACUGGUUUUCUUGAGUGUGGAUGAAGUAGGCGGAAUUUGUGGUGUAGCGGUGAAAUGCAUAGAUACCACGAGGAACUCCGAUUGCGCAGGCAGCUUACUAGGCCAUAACUGACGCUCAGGCACGAAGGCGUGGGGAUCAAACAGG
rnacentral:rRNA from 1 species